GCGAGAUAGCUCAGCUGGCUAGAGCGUCCGGUUCAUACCCAGAAGGUCGGGGGUUCGAUCCCCUCUCUCGC
rnacentral:tRNA from 1 species